GCGAGAGUGGCGGAACUGGCAGACGCGCAGGACUUAGGAUCCUGUGGAGAAAUCCGUCCGGGUUCGACCCCCGGCUCUCGCA
rnacentral:tRNA from 1 species